UGCGGUUAGGUGUUUUGUGGCACCCUGCAUAUUCGCUUUUUUGCUUCGUUUUUGCUCUUCUUGCUUCUUCGCGACUCUCUUUUCUUCUCUUCCUCCUUGGCUGCUCCUUUUGUUAUUAUCCAUGAAGUGUUGCACGUAGAUGUACCAAACAAUUGAGUGUGGAAGUUCAACGAUUGAGUCCGAAACCUUUUCGCUAGAAGAGAUCAGAUUCCGACAUAAUCGCCGGUGUAAUUUCAAAUUUCUCCUCUUUAGGGCAAUUUGUCUGUAACCCUCAAUUGUAGUUCUCACUUCAGUCGACAUCUUGGGAUGCUAAUUGGGGAUUUUAGAAGAAAGAAAGAAAGAAAGAAGGUCGAUCAGUCUUGCAAAUAUGCAUAUUGGUCAGUCAGAUAGUUGCAAAUGCAUCAAACUUUAGCAUUUAUGUGGUAUUUUUAUAUCAUAAGCGUGGAUCUUAGACUUGAGUCCCUCAUGCCUUAUUUUUGCUACAUAGUGCAACACCUACAGGAGCAACUAUGUGGCUAUUAUUUUGUAUGCUCAGAUACUUCAAAUUGCCGGGCUCAGUACGUUUAAAAUUUGACUAUUAGAAUUUGCAGGAUACAGAAGGAGAGCAAGAAGUUGGUUUGGUGUUAAGGAUGAUAACAACCGUAAAAAAUGGCAGAAGACUAAGUAGUGUCUCUAAUGUAAGGUUGAUGAUGAAGAGAAUUGGCAAGCAACAACAAUCUGGUGCUAGCUAUAUAUUGGUGGAUGAUGAACUUGGUGUGAUGUCUCAUGUCAUGCUUUUUUAAUAUAUUAGCUUUUUAGCUGCUGAAGUUAUAAAUGUAAGAAACAGGUUAAACGAUCAUGCCAAACAUUCUUUUAUGUACUGUAUAUCGUUAAGUAUAUAUUCUGCAUUUCUAUCCAGUUUCUUAAUUA